AACGAACGCUGGCGGCAUGUCUAACACAUGCAAGUCGAACGAGACCUUCGGGUCUAGUGGCGCACGGGUGCGUAACGCGUGGGAAUCUGCCCUUGGGUUCGGAAUAACAGUGAGAAAUUACUGCUAAUACCGGAUGAUGUCUUCGGACCAAAGAUUUAUCGCCCAGGGAUGAGCCCGCGUAGGAUUAGCUAGUUGGUGGGGUAAUGGCCUACCAAGGCGACGAUCCUUAGCUGGUCUGAGAGGAUGAUCAGCCACACUGGGACUGAGACACGGCCCAGACUCCUACGGGAGGCAGCAGUGGGGAAUAUUGGACAAUGGGCGCAAGCCUGAUCCAGCAAUGCCGCGUGAGUGAUGAAGGCCUUAGGGUUGUAAAGCUCUUUUACCCGGGAUGAUAAUGACAGUACCGGGAGAAUAAGCUCCGGCUAACUCCGUG
rnacentral:rRNA from 1 species